rnacentral:misc_RNA from 1 species
CGUCUCUGCACUGCGUGGCUCUACCCCUUAAUACACAUUUUCGAGACUUUCCCGAAACACAGUGAAAGCGCACCUUUACUGUUCUGUAUGCGUUGGCGAAUAGCAACAGUGUAACAGAUCCCACAAGCUUUUGUUUCACUUAUUUUAGUCCCUUUUCUAAACGCGAAGGACACGAAGCUAAGCGGAAGGCAAAAAUAUCAAUGGCAGUCGCUUCGAAGGGCCGAAUUGCCGAUGUGAACCAGGAGGAACUGACAAAGAUCGGGCCAAAGAUCGAUGACGUUCUCUCCAUUUGUUUGGCUAGCUUCGACAGCCUGCGUGAUAUGGCAUUCAAGUUCCAGUACGAGCAAGCUGCUGAGAAGGCCGCCUACCAAAGUGGCGAGACGAAGCCUGAUCCUAUGACGCAACUGAUGCACGUGCUGCAGCGGAUGGUCGAUUUGACUUUAGGUACUGCGAAAGCCGUGUACGACCAAACACUGCUGGAGUGGAGGCGGCGCAAGGGCGAAGGGGAUGCGGACUCGCCGGCCUCGCAGCUUGCCUCAUCUCAGUCCAUGACGUCCCCUGAGGUGCUCCGAAACAGUAGCGUGGAGGAUUUUGCGGCAGGCUCUCUAGCGUGGAUUGAGCGAGGCUCUCACCUCUCUCUGCUCUCCCUCGAGGUUCUCUCCUCUGUUCUGCUUGCUCACCACUACCUCCGAAAAGAUUUGCAGAAGUACAUGCUAGAUUUCAAUGCCCUUGACUACCUCGAAAAGGUGUUUAGUAUGGAACGCGAUCACGAGCUCUGCUACUUUCCAGAGGGCUUCAAGACUGAGUGCAUGCGCCUCAUAGCAAAUUUGACCCACAACAACGUCGAUGUGAAUGCGGCGCUUGCCGAACGCGACACGUUUCUGUUCAACAUCCUGUCCGCUACUCAGAUCGACGAGGAGAAUCCGGGCAUGGUAGAGUGGGCCGAGUUUGCUAUUCGCAAUAUCUGCGAAUCGUCCGCUGCGGCGCGAGAAAAAAUACGAAAGCUAGCUCCGCAGGGCGUCACAGAUCAGAGCCGUGGGAUGCUUGCGGGAAGGUGCAGCUACUCCUUCUCCAGCAGCGGGAAGGUUCAACUGCACACCCAAAAGCCACCCCUGGACUAGCUGGCAUGCGGCCUCUGUUGGCGGAAAUACCCAGCGGUUCCUCCCUCGCUCAUGGCCACAAGUGAGGCGGCCCCGCCGGCGUGUGCCAUCGUUGCCACACCUGUCUAUUGUAAUCAUCGAACUUUCCUCCCGUUUUUCCGCUCCAUUGAACAGGUAAGUGUUUUUGCGUUAUGCUCGUUUUCGUAGCCUGUCGCCUUGUCUUGUUUCCUUUGUUUUUCUUCUCAUCUUUUUUUUUGUUUGGUUUGAACCACUGUGACAGGAAUGAAAGAGGGAGGGCGGAUCGCAAAACGAUAUGGUGAUGAGAAGUGAGUGUGAACGCUCUCUCCGCCAUGCGAAUGACAUGCUUCACCAGGCACUUCUCUUCACCCCGAUUGUGUUCUUCGUCUCGUUUCAGAUCUCGAGAAGCAGAGUCGUUGCAAGCAUUUCGCUUUUCCUCCACCCGCCCCCUUGGGUGACAGAAAGGGGGGAUACGCAAGUCUACCUAUUCGUGCGUAGUGUUACCAGAUGAGAACUUGAAAACAACAGGAUUCUCACUGAUAGCUGCGCCGGCGCCGGAGGUAUCGCGGCCGCGAGUGGAGGGAUACCAUGUCGGCGUACUCUUCCACAGAAAUAGGGAACUCGCCAGUCAAGAAGAGCUGGGAACGUGGAUUGGAGUGCGCCAUGCCUGUAUUUUGAUAUCAUUCGCCCUUUCAUUUUGUUGUUUCUUCUUUGUCUCUGGAUGCCACAUUCGCUUCAUCUGUUUUUUUUUUUUUCGCUUGUGUGCGAUGCGGUCCCGCACCGCUUUGGUUGGGUUUCUUCGGCUGUUUCU